AGGACGAACGCUGGCGGCGUGCUUAACACAUGCAAGUCGAACGGAAAGGCCCUUCGGGGUACUCGAGUGGCGAACGGGUGAGUAACACGUGGGUGAUCUGCCCUGCACUUUGGGAUAAGCCUGGGAAACUGGGUCUAAUACCGAAUACACCCUUCUGGCUGCAUGGUCUGGUUGGGGAAAGCUUUUGCGGUGUGGGAUGGGUCCGCGGCCUAUCAGCUUGUUGGUGAGGUUACGGCUCACCAAGGCGACGACGGGUAGCCGGCCUGAGAGGGUGACCGGCCACACUGGGACUGAGAUACGGCCCAGACUCCUACGGGAGGCAGCAGUGGGGAAUAUUGCACAAUGGGCGCAAGCCUGAUGCAGCGACGCCGCGUGAGGGAUGACGGCCUUCGGGUUGUAAACCUCUUUCGCCAGGGACGAAGCGCAAGUGACGGUACCUGGAGAAGAAGGACCGGCCAACUACGUGCCAGCAGCCGCGGUAAUACGUAGGGUCCGAGCGUUGUCCGGAAUUACUGGGCGUAAAGAGCUCGUAGGUGGUUUGUCGCGUUGUUCGUGAAAACUCACAGCUCAACUGUGGGCGUGCGGGCGAUACGGGCAGACUGGAGUACUGCAGGGGAGACUGGAAUUCCUGGUGUAGCGGUGGAAUGCGCAGAUAUCAGGAGGAACACCGGUGGCGAAGGCGGGUCUCUGGGCAGUAACUGACGCUGAGGAGCGAAAGCGUGGGGAGCGAACAGGAUUAGAUGCCCUGGUAGUCCACGCCGUAAACGGUGGGUACUAGGUGUGGGUUUCCUUCCUUGGGAUCCGUGCCGUAGCUAACGCAUUAAGUACCCCGCCUGGGGAGUACGGCCGCAAGGCUA
rnacentral:rRNA from 1 species